ACGUGUUUUGAGGAAGCUGCAUUCUCAGUUUCCUGGCCAUAAAAGAAUGAAGUGCUAUGAUGGAAUCGGCAGGCAGGCUUGGAAAUAGUCUAAAGGGAUCCUGCCCACAAAAGUGGGUGUGCGGAUGCCCAGUUGGUUUACCUAGCUCAUCACUCCUCACCUGUGCGCUGCAGGAGGGAGGAAAGCUGGCUUCUGGUGCAUGAAUGUAGACGUUCCCAUCCAAAGGACAAAGGCCACAAGGAACUGUUGACAGGUCACACCCUCUACCCAUUGGGCAUUUGAGGACAGAGUUACCUUGCAGGUUCUCUUAACAAGUCUCCAACUGCCUCCAACUGGGAACUCCUCUUCCCAACCAUUCAUACAGGCUUUUCCAGAUCACAGAUUAAAACCUCGUACUUCCUUUGUCACUCCCAUAGACUAAAGGCAUUUCUGAGCUGUACAACACUCUGGUAGGCUCAUCCUCAGAAAUGAAGAAUGCAAAAUAACUGGAACGAAGGUGAAUGAGCGCCACGGCUGGCUGUGAAUUCAAGUUUGUUGCC